rnacentral:misc_RNA from 1 species
AAGAGUCUGAUUUUAAUCUCAAUUGAAAUCACCGAUUUUAUUCUGGAGCCGACCGCAGGUGUACAUGGAAAGAUGAUGUCAAGUUAAAUCGGCAUUUCACCUUUCAAAAGAUUCUACAAUCUGGCCUGCAAUACCUAAACGUAGCGAACUGCUAAAAGCCUGGCAAGGCCAGAAAUUAAAAUAUUAUAGGCAUGAUCCCUAUCCCUCGUGUUCUACAAAUAUCCACCCCAUAAACACGAAAUAUUUUGAAAUUCCCUGAAUUUUUUACUCUUUAACAUUUCAUGCUGAUUAAUUUAGACUCCAUUAACUUCAAUAAUUUAAUGAUACAUUAAAGUAUUAAAAAAAUUUAUGCUCACAUAGUUACUACGUGAUUAGACCUAUCAUUCGAUAAAAAUGAAACGUCAACCUAUAUAAUUAAAAUCCCCAAAUGUACACCACAUUACGAGAGCAUGCGGGAGAGAGCAGAGGGGGGCAUUCUCCAGUCCAGGUACUCAAUAGGUGCAUAUCUGUAUACCUGCCACAGAAAGCUUUCGACGCUAGGCAGUUUUCCCAGCUUAGGAAAUUUUAAGCCAGUUCAAAUAUUCGAGCAUUCCUUAAAACUCGAGGAAAAACAUAUAACAAAAUAUCCAAACGAAGAGCAACCCUUAUUGUGCAAAAAAGUUCGCUUCACUUUAUGAGACCAAACAAAGCAUACACAACUUUUAGAUAACAAAGCCAAACCAGCCAAAAGUACAUUAUGAUUUGUUCUUUUAUUCAAAUGAGUUCUGGCCUCCUAACUUUCUACUAGAGUUGUCCAGCUAGCGCAUAUAUCAGCUGCCUUUUGUCUUAUUAUGGAUCUCAUGGGCAGCAUUCUAUCCUUGCAAACCAAUAAUACCGCAUGCUGCUCUGCCACCAGCAUUUCCAGUGGUUUUGCUAAGUUCAUGUCCCCCUGGAUACAAAAAUGAAAUGAGCCAUGAACAUUUCUUGCAUUCAUCAGGCAAUAAAUGACUAAAAUGCAGAAUAGAAAUUAAGUCUUGUUGAUAAGGCAAUUAGCUAUCAUGGUUAAGUAGGUAACUUGUAUGUCGGAUAUUCUCUCUAGGGAAGGAGGUGGACUAGCAGAGAGUCACUUCAAUGCAUCAAGCAGACUAAAUCUGAUGCAAAGAUUAUGCGAGUCCCCCUAGAACUAGCUUUUAGAGAUAAGUUAGAACCGACUCAUUUACUCAAGAUAGUAUCAAAGCCCCACCAACCAAUGUUUAGGCCUUUCACAAAUGUUUCCCGCUCUAGGUGUUUAAUCCUCCGCGUAAGGAGAGUGUGUUAAUAUCCCAAGUUAGUUUGAAUAGGGGUAAUGUGCCCCUUAUAAAUUAGAUCUGACCCAUUUUCUUAAAACUUCCUUAUCCCACAGUUGGAAUAUUGGAAACACAAUUCAAACUCAAUCAAGAAGCAGAAACCAAUUUACUCAUCAUUGACAAAAUAAAGCAGCAACUAAGCAAGGCUAAAAAAAAGAUUUCAAAGCUGAGAAUUUAAAGUUUACCCUUGCCAAGAUCAUCAGGAUCCGAAUGAACUACAACUGCCCUUCCAAUAAUGGAAUUCGGGCCAGAAAGUGGAAUGUGCUUGUCAACAAUUGUGAAAC